GUGGCGUCAACAGUUUGCAGUUCCGCGUAUAUGAGCUCGCCAAGUAUCAAGUAGACUGGUAUGUUAUGCCUUUAGUCGCUCACUGUCAAGCAGAAUGGAGACAUUGCUGUCGAGAUCAGAGAUUCCUAUAAUCGACCUCGCUCACCUAGGUAGCAUAGAGAAACCAACUCGUAGCAACUUGAAGAAGGUUGCCGCUCAGCUGCAUCGAUCACUGGCACAAAAAGGAAUUGCUUUCCUUGUCAAUCAUGGUAUUCCAAACAAUAGGCUGGAAGCAGCAUAUUCAGCAAUGGAUCGAUUCUGUGAGCUACCAAGAAAUACAAGGGAGCUCUACUUGAGACAUCCACCUAGCAACCAUGGAUAUGUACCUCCAGGAGUUGAAAGGUUCUCAAAGGAACCAGCUGAUGAAGCGCGCCACACUUUCAAUGUUCUCUGGUUGGACAGAGGGCUACCAGAAUCUGAAGUACCAGGAUUCCGUGCCAUUGUUACAUCUGUAGCAUACGACUUUCAAAGGGUGGCUUCAUUAUUGUUACGUGUUCUAGCUGCCGGUUUUGAGCUUCCAACAGAUUAUCUUCUUGACAUGCACCGUGGAAUGCUGGGAGAAGACAAUGAAACAUGUGUCCGACUACUCUACUAUCCUCCUUGGACACCAGAAAUAGAUGAGGCAGCAAUACGCUGUGGAGAACAUACUGAUUAUGGCUCAUUCACUCUGUUGGCCCAAGACUCAGAAGGAGGCCUAGAGGUGAAAACAGCUGCAGGUGAAUGGGCACGUGUUGGAUUCUUACCAGGAGCAUUAAUUAUCAACACUGGAGAGCUGUUAUCCUUUUGGACUAAAGGAGAGUACACUGCAAUUCCACAUCGUGUUGUGAUGCCUGAUCAAGCAUCAGUGAGGAGCCGAGCACGCCAUGCUGUGGUCUUCUUUGUGCACCCUGAUAACAACACUCCCCUCACUCCAUUGCCAAGUCAUGUACAGCUGACAAACAACCCCUCACCAAUACUUCCAGGGUCCGUCCAGACAGCCUAUCAGUACCUACAGAUGCGUUUUGGUGAUACUUAUGCAUGACAAGAAUAUAUGGGCUUCCUGCGUCUUAGCAGCUGCCAAAGUGUGGUGGUGCCUAUUAUCUGGCGCUCUGUGACAACUGCUGAAAUGAACCUAUUUCUAAAAGGUCGCAGGAAAAUGUUGCGAAUGGUGGUUUGAAAAGUGUUACUUUCAAGAUAACAAAUAUUUGAGUUCUGCUCUCUUCAAACCAUUCUGCAUGAAGCCAAAUGCCUGUGAAAUUCAUAACUUAUGACACCCUUUGCUAAUCAUUCAAUGAAACUUUACAAAUCAUGAAAUAUUUAUGGUGUUUUCAUAAUGAAAUUAAAGACACUGAGACACAGUUUAUUAUUAUAAUAAUUAUUAUUUAAAAGGUAAUGAUUCAGGAGGCACAGUUGAAGUUGUAUGGGAAACCUUGAGAACCACUGACUUCCAGAGAAAUGUACUGUGAUGAUAUCAUAUCUCACAUGUAAGAUUCUGCCUGAUUUAUGCAUUCUAACAAUUUUUAAGUCAUGUAUAUAUUGACAAGAAAAGAUAAUGUAUUCUAGUAUGUACAAAUAAAGGAAAUAAACAACACAUA